GAUAAAACGUGCGUUUUGAUUCUUUUCUUCUGCAUUUGAAUUUCAGAGCCCAUUCAUCCAUUCAAAUUUCAGAGCCCCGCGAAAUACCUCCUCCCUAGCCGCUUCGCGUCACCUUCCUCUGCCCAACGCCAUUGGCGACACCGUCUCCCUUUCUAGCGAACCGAGCUACGCUCCUCUGUCUGUCCAGUGCCACCACUCCCCAAGAGGCUUGGUUAUUUCUCUCUCCUAGGGCUAGCGUUUCACACGCUUGGUUCAUAUUUUCUGUCCCUCGAAGAUUCACAGCCUCAGCUGCUUAUGGAGGCUCCUAAGGUGAGCGACCCCAUUCAGUUCUACAAGGCUUCGUUCAGCGCUGAGGAGCUCGGCCAUACCCUGCACCCCAAGCACAAAGCCGAUAAAGAGCUCCCUCUCAUUCUCUCUACUCAGCUGAAGAUCAGUGGCUCCACCUUUUGUCUCUGACCUCACUGAUGACUCUAUUGCUCCAUAAACCAUUUUUUCAAAUAAUUUUCUGGGUGUCGCAGCCUUGCUUCACUUGUGCUUCAUUGAGACUUCCAUAGCAAGUAAAUCACAAUACAAAGAGGCCCCUACUGAUAUGCAUGAUGGACACAAUAGAAGGGACUCAACCUAGUACAAACAAGUUGUGAUCUUAUGUGGCUUACAUACUUCACUCUUGUUUGUAGUUUUAAUAAGUAUUCUGACACUGUUAUUUUUCAUGCAGGAAGUAUGUACAACAUAGAGCAGUCCCUAGUGAAAGUAGCACUCACAAGUAUUCUGACAGUGUUAAUUGUGAUGGAAUCUUUUCUUGUAAUAACUAUUCUGAUAUAGUAUUUGUUGUGAUGGAAUUCUUUCUUGUAAUGAUUUCGUGUAAUGCUAAUGUGUAAUUUUUUUUAUAAGAAGUGUAAUUUUUUUAUGAUGGAAUGAGUUUACCAUUUCGAUUGAGUACCAUCUUUAGUGUAAUGUUUUUUUGUGAUGGAACCAG